rnacentral:rRNA from 1 species
GACGAACGCUGGCGGCGUGCUUAACACAUGCAAGUCGAACGGAAAGGCCCUGCUUUUGUGGGGUGCUCGAGUGGCGAACGGGUGAGUAACACGUGAGUAACCUGCCCUUGACUUUGGGAUAACUUCAGGAAACUGGGGCUAAUACCGGAUAGGUGCUCCUGCUGCAUGUCGUGGGUUGGAAAGUUUCGGCGGUUGGGGAUGGACUCGCGGCUUAUCAGCUUGUUGGUGGGGUAGUGGCUUACCAAGGCUUUGACAGGUAGCCGGCCUGAGAGGGUGACCGGCCACACUGGGACUGAGAUACGGCCCAGACUACUACGGGAGGCAGGAGUGGGGAAUAUUGCACAAUGGGCGGAAGCAAGAUGCAGCAACGCCGCGUGCGGGAUGACGGCCUUCGGGUUGUAUACCGCUUUCGCCUGUGACGAAGCGUGAGUGACGGUAAUGGGUAAAGAAGCACCGGCUAACUACGUG